rnacentral:tRNA from 1 species
GAUCUCGCAGUGUAGUGGUUAGCACGUGGGAUUUUGACUUCAUAUCAGAAUCACGAAUAUCUUAUUCUUUCCCGAAUCCCCGGUUCGAGCCCGGGUACGACCU